rnacentral:rRNA from 1 species
UACAGAGGGUGCAAGCGUUAAUCGGAUUUACUGGGCGUAAAGGGCGCGUAGGUUGUUAUUUAAGUGAGAUGUGAAAUCCCCGGGCUUAACCUGGGAACUGCAUCUUAUACUGGGUAACUGGAGUGCAAUAGAGGGUAGUGGAAUUUCCGGUGUAGCGGUGAAAUGCGUAGAUAUCGGAAGGAACACCAGUGGCGAAGGCGGCUACCUGGAUUGACACUGACACUGAGGCGCGAGAGCGUGGGGAGCAAACAGG